rnacentral:lncRNA from 1 species
CCAUCCUCACCACACCACCUUUCGAUUUCAAACAAACCAUUCUACAUACAUUCAAGUGUGAAGGAUCGCGUAUAAGGAAGAUCGGUGCACUCGGGAACACAAGGACCUCACUACGUUGCUAUUAACCCCUCGUUUUUCGCCUAGUUUCUUCCCUAGCCUCGAGCUAGUAGUAAGUGACUCUAAACACCUUCUUGAUCUUGUCUAACGUGGUUAAUAAGAGAUUUGUUGGUUGAAAAUCAUGAACAUGUCACGACGUUAAUUAAGCAAAUACGGUGAAGU